rnacentral:rRNA from 1 species
UACGUAGGGGGCAAGCGUUGUCCGGAAUCAUUGGGCGUAAAGAGCGUGUAGGCGGUCCGUUAAGUCGGCUGUGAAAGUCCAAGGCUCAACCUUGGGAUGCCGGUCGAUACUGCCGGACUAGAGUUCGGAAGAGGCGAGUGGAAUUCCCGGUGUAGCGGUGAAAUGCGCAGAUAUCGGGAGGAACACCUAUGGCGAAGGCAGCUCGCUGGGACGUUACUGACGCUGAGGCACGAAAGCGUGGGGAGCAAACAGG